AUACGGAGGAUGCGAGCGUUAUCCGGAUUCAUUGGGUUUAAAGGGUACGUAGGUGGCCCGGUAAGUCGGUGGUGAAAACCUGCCGCUUAACGGUAGGCGUGCCAUUGAUACUGUCGGGCUUGAGUGCGGUUGAGGCAGGCGGAAUGUGUAGUGUAGCGGUGAAAUGCAUAGAUAUUACACAGAACUCCGAUUGCGAAGGCAGCUUGCUAAAGUGCAACUGACGCCGAUGUACGAAAGCGUGGGUAGC
rnacentral:rRNA from 1 species